UAGAAAGCCAACUUUCACAGAUCUACCAUGUCUGUACUUAAUUUCCCAUCAUAUCUCCUUGACCUUACCUGCACUCCUUCAUCAAUCACCUAUCCUGAAUGAUAAUCAUGCACACCUGCACCUCGUCUUCACCCUCAUCACUCUGGCAAUAUGAGCACACACCUCGCUUUACUCAUGGUUCAGUCUCGUCAGUGUUUCUCCAGUAUUUCUCCAAGCAACUAUUCUCCAGUGUCCCUCCUGUGCUUACCUCCUGCAUUAUCUCCAGUGUGUUCUCCCAUUUUCCACUCCAAUGUAUUUUCCUGAACUCCACUCCAGCGUCUUCCUUUAUUCCUUUAAGUCUAUGUGUCUGCCAUACUCACCUAUACCAACGAGCUCUUGGCCUCCACAGAAAUUGAAGAAACACUGCAGUGACAUCAGACAUAUAUUUCUGCUCCUGACAAAUCCAUCUGACUAACAGACCUUGCCUGGGAGGCAGUUUUUAUAUGCUAUGUGAAAAACACCUUGUCAAUGCAUCUGUGUAUUACUUAAUGUCACUGACCUAUUUCUCUAGAGAUGGGUGUCGGUGUAAAACCCUGGAAGAUGACAUUUCCAAAUCAAUAAACAGUAUGCAAAGAGUGAAAAUAACCCAGGGGUCCGAUCGGAUGAAUUAUGAUGAGUGUUAUUAUAGAUUGGAAAUAAAAACUAAAAGUAUUUUUUAGAUGAAUACAAUAUACCUAAAAUAAAAUGUAUUAGAAUUGGAGAAUAAGACCUCUCCAACUCAAAAUUUUUAAGUGACUGGUCACGUCUACAUUUUUCAAUUGAAUUUCUGUGAAUUGAGUUCCAUGGCUGCAAAAUAAAUGUUUAAAAUACCAUAGUUCAAACAAACAAAACCAAAA